rnacentral:rRNA from 1 species
UACGGGGGGGGCAAGCGUUGUUCGGAAUUACUGGGCGUAAAGGGCUCGUAGGCGGUCGUGCAAGUCGGAUGUGAAAUCUCAGGGCUCAACCCUGAAACUGCAUUCGAUACUGCGUGGCUAGAGUGCUGGAGAGGAGACUGGAAUUUACGGUGUAGCAGUGAAAUGCGUAGAUAUCGUAAGGAAGACCAGUGGCGAAGGCGAGUCUCUGGACAGCAACUGACGCUGAGGCACGAAGGCCAGGGGAGCAAACGGG